AGGAAGGAAGGAAGGAAGGAAGGAAGGAAGGAAGGAAGGAAGGAAGGAAGGAAGGAAGGAAGAAAUGGAAUGGACUUUCCAUAAAGAUAGUUGAGUUGUGCUUCCUUGAAGGUCCUCAGACAAAGCUGAAUGAUCAUUCUCAGAAAUUUUUAUCUGUUUUUCUUUCUGGACUGCAUUGACUUCUCCUGAAUAUUGGAAUGUUUUCUGAGUUAAAAAACAAACCCCAGAAUUUUGAGUCCUCAGAUCUGAGUGGACCGAGCAGACCCCUGACUUAGAUCCUGGGCAUGUAAGGCUUAACUGGGACUAUGAACCAGAUGAGGAAACUGAGGUAAACAGAAAUAAGUAACUCAUCCAGGGUCACACAGCCAGUAAGUGUCUGCAGCCAGUUUUGAACUGAGGAAGAAACAUAGAAUGUCAGAGUUGGAAGGGACCUCAAAAAGGCUUACGGAUCUGGAGCUAGGAAGGACCUCACAGGUCAUUUUGUGCAGCUACUGAAGUCCAGCCUUUUGUUAAGAAGAAAGGAUGUAUAUUUGGAAGAACUGAAGAAAGAAUUUUUAGAUUAUGGGCUGCAAGAGGUAUAAGAGCAACUCUCUGGAGGUAGGUAGCAAAGAACAAAAGCUUUUACUCUGCAAAAGGUCCAAUGGAACAGACACUCAUCAUAAAGUGACACAAAAUCUAAUGUCUCUAAGAAAAACUAUUCAUGUUUCAGUGGCACCUUAUAGUUUAUCCAAUUUCCUUAUACUCCUACAAGUAAGUAGUAAGGCAUAUCUUUCUAUCUCCAUUUUAUAGAUGGGAAAAACUUAGAAGCUAAAUGACUUGCCUGGAGUUACAAAGAUAGUAAUUGGUGGAGCUAGGAUUCAAACUUAGACCUGUUGCAUCAGAUCAAAGCCAGAAUAGAUAAGAGCUGCCCACUCUCAUUAUAGUUAGUAUUCUUUGCUAUCCUAUAAUGUUAUCUCAUUCUUGAAGUAACUAGAUUAUAAUAGGGACUCUUAACCUAGGUUCUCUGAACUAUAUAUACAUAUAAACACCCACAUAUACAUGCAUCUAUAUUUUUCUUUUUCUGAGAAGUCCAUGGGUUUCUUCUGACUUCCAAUGGGACCCAUGACACACAAAAGACUAAAUAACCCAAGAUGACAUACUAUGACAAGGAAGAAUAUGUAAAUGGAACUUAAUGUUAUAAUUUCUGAUGUCAGAAAUAACAAUUUUCAUUUCAGCUUUUGAAAAGGAAGUAUAUUUAAAGAUAAAUGUGAAUUAUGUUUGGUUCUGGAAGUGUAACAUUGAAUCUAACAAAUAUAGUGUUUUAAUAUAUUCUAACUAAUGAGGACAGUCCUAAGCAUGCUAAUAAUAUUUCAAAAUAGUGGAGACAACAUGGCUUAACAGAAAAGACAGCAGAGUAGGAGACCAGAGUCUAAUGCCACACAUAUGACCUUAGGAUAAGUCUUUUCAACUUUGGGAGGCUGCUUGUCAGUAGCUAUAAAAUGACUAUAAAUGUUAGACUAGAUAGUUUCUAAGGAUUUUUUGGGGAGGAGUGUGUAUUUUUAGCUUGUGGAGCAAUUUCAAUUUCAUUAAAAGAUAAAAUACCCUCAAAAUCAUUAUCAUGUCCUGUAGACUUAUGUAAUCAUAGUCAAAGUCCUGUCUUACAAAUCAACUUUCUCUCUCCCUAGCACAAGACAACCUUCACUCUGGUCAGGUUCACCUUUUGAUGUUUUCUCAUCUGAAAUGCUCUUCCUUUCUUUGCAAUAUAUCAAAAUUAAAUUCAUUGUUUAAUAUUAGAGUGAUACUUUUUUGAAUAUAGUUUUUAUUGUUUCCUUGUUUCUACAGCAGUCAUUUCUUGAUAUUCUCUACCUCCUCCACUAAGCCCUCCCUCCCUUGUAACAAGGAAACAUAGUUAUAAGUGACAAACAACCACAUCUGACAGUUUAAAGUCCUUUCAAGCUUCAAGUACAUAACUUUCAAUUAUUUUUCCAUUUCUUCAUAAAUUCAUCUCUGCAUACAAACAAAUAUUUUCAGCCCAGGACAUCAUGAUUCUUAAUUUAUUUGUAUAUGUAUCAUAGCCCAACACAGCUGUUGUUCUUAAUACUUUUUCUAUAAAAACAAUAAUUUUUGUGACUUUUACAUCAAAUGGAUCUAAGCAUUUGUUGAAAAAAAAGUUUACACCCUAUUUAUGUAUUUCUACUAUUUUGAAAUUGUAAAAUAGGAAUAGCGAAGUUGUGUAUUUAAGGAAAUUUAUCUUAAAGUUAAAUGCAAAUGAUCAAUU